CCCGCUGAACUUAAGCAUAUCAAUAAGCGGAGGAAAAGAAAAUAACAAUGAUUCCCUUAGUAACGGCGAGUGAAGGGGGAUAAGCUCAAAUUUUAAAUCUGGCUAGGUUAUACCUACUAGAGUUGUAUUUUGAAGAAGCGUUUUCCGCGUCUCGGUUGACCCAAGUCCUUUGGGAUAAGGCAUCAUGGAGGGUGAGAAUCCCGUUCGGUUGACCUUAUGACGUUUUACGAUACGCUUUCAAAGAGUCGAGUUGUUUGGGAUUGCAGCUCAAAAUGGGAGGUAAAUUUCUCCUAAGGCUAAAUAUUGGCGAGAGACCGAUAGCGAACAAGUACCGUGAGGGAAAGAUGAAAAGAACUUUGAAAAGAGAGUAAAAUAGUACGUGAAAUUGUUGAAAGGGAAACGAUUGAAGUCAGUCGUACCGACGUGAAAUCAACUCUUCGAGUGCGGGCUUGUGGGUUGCGGGUGUCUCGCUGUUUGCAACGUCUGUGCUUUUUGGGUGUACUUUUUCGUAUGGUAGGCCAACAUCAGUUUCGAUCAUUAUAAAAUGACCGGAGGAAUGUAGCUUCGAUUUCGGUUGAAGUGUUAUAGCCUUUGGUAGAUGUGGUGAUAGGGACUGAGGAUUGCAACGAAUACCCUUCGGGCUAUCCGUCUGACCUCUGAAAGUUGCUUAGGUGCCGAAAGCGUGCUUACGGUCAUUUAACGCAACGGUUAAAAGGUUAGAACGUGAUUACAUUCGUUAAGGAUGUUGGCGUAAUGGCUUUAAACGACCCGUCUUGAAACACGG
rnacentral:rRNA from 1 species